rnacentral:sRNA from 1 species
CUACAAGUUCACAAUGCCUUUGAAGGAUGCUGGCAAAAGCAAUGGGGUCAUCAGCCUUGGAAAGAAACUCAGAAGUUCUCAUGAGUCAGUCCAGAGGGAACUCCGGUCUUGAAGUAAUCUUCUGCUGGGGAGAGAAUCCUGGAGGUGCCUGUUUCCUGUCAGGAUUCAGUCCUUGAAGCUUCUCAGGAAAUAUAUGACCAGAGUCGACUUCAAUGUUCCUAUGAAGAACAACCAGAUAACAAACAACCAGAGGAUUAAGGCUGCUGUCCCAAGCAUCAAAUUCUGCUUGGACAAUGGAGCCAAGUCGGUAGUCCUUAUGAGCCACCUAGGCCGGCCUGAUGGUGUGCCCAUGC